GACGUAGGGCGCGAGCGUUGUCCGGAUUUAUUGGGCGUAAAGAGCUCGUAGGCGGUUUGUCGCGUCUGCUGUGAAAACCCGAGGCUCAACCUCGGGCCUGCAGUGGGUACGGGCAGACUAGAGUGCGGUAGGGGAGAUUGGAAUUCCUGGUGUAGCGGUGGAAUGCGCAGAUAUCAGGAGGAACACCGAUGGCGAAGGCAGAUCUCUGGGCCGUAACUGACGCUGAGGAGCGAAAAGCAUGGGGAGCGAACAGG
rnacentral:rRNA from 1 species